UACGGGGGGGGCAAGCGUUGUUCGGAAUUACUGGGCGUAAAGGGCUCGUAGGCGGCCAACUAAGUCAGACGUGAAAUCCCUCGGCUUAACCGGGAAACUGCAUCUGAUACUGGAUGGCUUGAGAUUGGGAGAGGGAUGCGGAAUUCCAGGUGUAGCGGUGAAAUGCGUAGAUAUCUGGAGGAACACCGGUGGCGAAGGCGGCAUCCUGGACCAACACUGACGCUGAGGAGCGAAAGCCAGGGGAGCAAACGGG
rnacentral:rRNA from 1 species